rnacentral:tRNA from 1 species
GGUGGCUCAGUGGUAGAGUGCUUGCCUUGCAUGCAUGAAGCCCUGGGUUCGGUUCCUCAGCACCA